rnacentral:rRNA from 1 species
UGGGGAAUAUUGGACAAUGGGCGAAAGCCUGAUCCAGCCAUGCCGCGUGUGUGAAGAAGGUCUUCGGAUUGUAAAGCACUUUAAGUUGGGAGGAAGGGUUGUAGAUUAAUACUCUGCAAUUUUGACGUUACCGACAGAAUAAGCACCGGCUAACUCUGUGCCAGCAGCCGCGGUAAUACAGAGGGUGCAAGCGUUAAUCGGAAUUACUGGGCGUAAAGCGCGCGUAGGUGGUUUGUUAAGUUGGAUGUGAAAUCCCCGGGCUCAACCUGGGAACUGCAUUCAAAACUGACUGACUAGAGUAUGGUAGAGGGUGGUGGAAUUUCCUGUGUAGCGGUGAAAUGCGUAGAUAUAGGAAGGAACACCAGUGGUGAAGGCGACCACCUGGACUAAUACUGACACUGAGGUGCGAAAGCGUGGGGAGCAAACA